GACGAACGCUGGCGGCGUGCUUAACACAUGCAAGUCGAACGGAAAGGCCCUGCUUUUGUGGGGUGCUCGAGUGGCGAACGGGUGAGUAACACGUGAGUAACCUGCCCUUGACUUUGGGAUAACUUCAGGAAACUGGGGCUAAUACCGGAUAGGAGCUCCUGCUGCAUGGUGGGGGUUGGAACGUUUCGGCGGUUGGGGAUGGACUCGCGGCUUAUCAGCUUGUUGGUGGGGUAGUGGCUUACCCAGGCUUUGACGGGUAGCCGGCCUGAGAGGGUGACCGGCCACAUUGGGACUGAGAUACGGCCCAGACUCCUACGGGAGGCAGCAGUGGGGAAUAUUGCACAAUGGGCGGAAGCCUGAUGCAGCAACGCCGCGUGCGUGAUGACGGCCUUCGGGUUGUAAACCGCUUUCGCCUGUGACGAAGCGUGAGUGACGGUAAUGGGUAAAGAAGCACCGGCUAACUACGUG
rnacentral:rRNA from 1 species